ACUCAAAACUGCCAGUGUGAGAGGAUUUGGAAAUCACGGGAUCUGCUCAAUACAAAAAUGUUUUUUCGAGUCUUUCUCCAUUUUAUCAGGAGUCAUUCUGCCACUGCAGUGGAUUUCCUUCCUGUGAUGGUGCACCGGCUCCCAGGUACAAUCAUUGGUUUGAUGGGAUGGCGCUGCUUCACCAGUUCAGAAUGGCAAAGGGCACAGUGACAUACAGGAGCAAGUUUCUACAGAGUGAUACAUAUAAGGCCAACAGUGCUAAAAACCGAAUUGUGAUCUCAGAAUUUGGCACACUGGCUCUCCCGGAUCCAUGCAAGAAUGUUUUUGAACGUUUCAUGUCCAGGUUUGAGCUGCCUGGUAAAGCUGCAGGUGAUAGUGAUGAUUAUUUAAACUAUUACGAUAUAUAACCAUCUAUACAAACAUAAAUCUUGAAAAUAGAUUUUUUUGUGUAUGUGAGAGGAUGUUGAAACUGCUUUCUCCCUUUGAGUGUGUGCUUAGCGUCGUCUACAGUAAGCUGUGGUACUUAAAUAACUCUAGGGUUUGGUUUCAGCCAUGACUGACAACACUAAUGUCAACUAUGUGCGGUACAAGGGUGAUUACUACCUCUGCACUGAGACCAACUUUAUGAAUAAAGUGGACAUUGAAACUCUGGAAAAAACAGAAAAGGUAGAUUGGAGCAAAUUUAUUGCUGUGAAUGGAGCAACUGCGCAUCCUCAUUAUGACCCGGAUGGAACAGCAUACAAUAUGGGGAACUCCUUUGGGCCAUAUGGUUUCUCCUAUAAGGUUAUUCGGGUUCCUCCAGAGAAGGUGGACCUUGGGGAGACAAUCCAUGGAGCCCAGGUGAUAUGUUCUAUUGCUUCUACAGAGAAAGGGAAACCUUCUUACUACCAUAGCUUUGGAAUGACAAGGAACUAUAUAAUUUUCAUUGAACAACCUCUAAAGAUGAACCUGUGGAAAAUUGCCACUUCUAAAAUUCGGGGAAAGGCCUUUUCAGAUGGGAUAAGCUGGGAACCCCAGUGUAAUACGCGGUUUCAUGUGGUGGAAAAACGCACUGGACAGCUCCUUCCAGGGAGAUACUACAGCAAACCUUUUGUUACAUUUCAUCAAAUCAAUGCCUUUGAGGACCAGGGCUGUGUUAUAAUUGAUUUGUGCUGUCAAGAUAAUGGAAGAACCCUAGAAGUUUACCAGUUACAGAAUCUCAGGAAGGCUGGGGAAGGGCUUGAUCAGGUCCAUAAUUCAGCAGCCAAAUCUUUCCCUCGAAGGUUUGUUUUGCCUUUAAAUGUCAGUUUGAAUGCCCCUGAGGGAGACAACCUGAGUCCAUUGUCCUAUACUUCAGCCAGUGCUGUGAAACAGGCUGAUGGAACGAUCUGGUGCUCUCAUGAAAAUCUACAUCAGGAGGACCUAGAAAAGGAAGGAGGCAUUGAAUUUCCUCAGAUCUACUAUGAUCGAUUCAGUGGCAAAAAGUAUCAUUUCUUUUAUGGCUGUGGCUUUCGGCAUUUAGUGGGGGAUUCUCUGAUCAAGGUUGAUGUGGUGAAUAAGACACUGAAGGUGAUGAAAAACUCUUUCCUUUUUGAACUUUUCAGAGACCUGUUCUUCCCUUUGAAUUAGUUUGUUUUAUUUAAAGUAGCUCUUAAGAUUCUUCAGUAUUUAAGCAGCUGAGCCAUUUUCUUUUAUUUGAGAACUAUGAAAUCAUCUAAGUUAGGGGUAUGUUCCUUCUAGGGAAUCCAAAUUGACCCCAGGCCCAGCAAAAUAAUUCUAUGUUUGAUUUUGAUGUUAUUUUGGGAGCAAUUGUGGGGUUAGGGUUGUUGGGACACCUAUAUUUAAAGUUGAUGGCAAAUUAUAGUUACACAAAUUGUGUUUGAUGGUGAUGGAAUCUGGGACUGCAAAGACUCCCUCUCUUUCUCCCAUAUUCAACUCAGUAGGCCUGAUUCUUUUACUUUUGGAAUAUUCCAUUGACAGCCUGUGUUAGUCUGUUCUGUGUUGUUAUAAAGAAAUCCCCGAGGCUGGAUAAUUUAUAAAGAAAAGAGGUUUAGGCUGGGUGUGGUGGCUCACGCCUGUCAUCUCAGCACUUUGGGAGGCCGAGGGGGGUGUAUCACAAGGUCAGGAGAUCAAGACCAUCCUGGCCAACAUGGUGAAACCCUGUCUCUACUAAAAAUACAAAAAUUAGCUGGGCGUGGUGGCACAUGCCUGUAAUCCCAGCUAAUUGGGAGGCUGAGCCAGGAGAAUCACUUGAACCCGGGAGGUAGAGGUUGCAGUGAGCUGAAAUUGCGCCACUGCACUCCAGCCUGGCAACAGUGCGAGAUUCCGUCUCAAAAAACAAAACAAAACAAAACAAAAACA
rnacentral:sRNA from 1 species